ensembl:lncRNA
GUCUCCCCCCCCCCCUCCUGCAGUGGUAAGUAGAGAACAGGGGCAUGAGUCCAGUGCUGUCCAGCCCAGAAGUUGUUCACAAUCCUCUUCUGGUCUUCUUUGAUCAAUGUCUCUGGAGGUUCGAGAGCAGUGAAACGAUGCCUCAGCAUGGAGACAAUCAGGUUGUUGACACCCAGUACUCUAUAAGACAACCGGGGCUAAAUGUGUGAGGGAGAGAGAGUGAGUGAGGGUGUGUGUGUGUGUGUGUGUGUGUGUGUGUGUGUGUGUGUGUGUGUGUGUGGGAGAGAGUGUGUGUGAGAGGGGGAGAGAGUGU